rnacentral:rRNA from 1 species
UACAUGGGGUGCAAACGUUGCUCGGAAUUAUUGGGCGUAAAGGGCGCGUAGGCGGCUUUUCAAGUGACGGGUGAAAUCCCUCGGCUUAACCGAGGAACUGCCUGUCAGACUGGAAGGCUUGAGACCGGGAGAGGUGAGUGGAAUUCCCAGUGUAGCGGUGAAAUGCGUAGAUAUUGGGAGGAACACCAGUGGCGAAGGCGGCUCACUGGACCGGAACUGACGCUGAGGCGCGAAAGCGUGGGGAGCAAACAGG